AGUAAAUAAUAGAUUUGAAAUAAUUAUAAAAUAGAAUUAACGAGAUAAUUAUGGAUUAUAAAAUAUCAUAAAAAUGAUAAAGUUAUUAAUAGAAAUAGGUUACUAAUUAAAUUAUAAAAAUUUAUAAAACCUAAGGGAAACCUACAAAUAAGAUAUAUACUAAGUGAACUGAAACAUCUAAGUAACUUAAGGAAAAUAAAUCAACAGAGAUAUUAUAAGUAUUGGUGAGAGAAAGUAAUAUAAUAUAUAUAUUAAUAAAAUAAUAUAUAUAUAUUAGGAGCCCGGCCCCCGUGGGGGCCGGGCGACCUCAUAGUCAAUAAAGUAUUAUGUACAAUAAAUAUAAGAACAAUAAAUUAAUAAUAAAAUAUUAAUUAAAUAAGGAUUAACAAAUUCUAAGACUAAAUACUAUUAAUAAAUAUAAAGAGUACCGUAAGGGAAAAUAUGAAGUAAUUAUUUUAUAAGCAAUCAAUUUAUUUAAUAAUAAAUAAUAUGAUGUACCUUUUGUAUAAUGGGUCAGCAAGUUAUUAAUAAUUGCAAAAUAUAUAAAUUAAAUAUAAAUAGAAAUAUAAAUAUUAAUCAAUAAAUUAAUUAUAAUUUAUAUCCAAAUUAUAUUUGGAUAUAAAAAGUAGAGUAAAUAUUAAUAGACCCGAAAGCAGAUGAUCUUACCUUGAUAAGAUGUAAUAACGAUCGAACAAGUUGAUGUAGCAAAAUCAUUUGAAUAAUUGAGGUAAGUAAGUGAAAGACAAAUCUGAUCUGCAGAUAGCUGGUUUUCUAUGAAAUAUAUGUAAGUAUAGCCUUUAUUUUUAUAUAAUAUUAUUUGAUUAUUAAUUAAUUAAAUAAGGAUGGUAUAGCAAUUAAUAUAUUUUUGUAUAUCAAAAAGUAUUAAAUCUCAAAAUAUUAUGUUAUAUAGAGUAAGGAGUCAGAUUAUAUGCGAUAAGGUAAAUAAUCUAAAGGGAAACAGCCCAGAUUAAGAUAUAAAGUUCCUAAUAAAUAUUAAGUGAAAAUAAUAUUAUAAUAUUAAAAUAUAUUCAGUUAAUGGGUUUGACAAUAACCAUUUUUUAAUGAACAUGUAACAAUGCACUGAUUAAUCAAUAAUGAUAUUAAAAAUCAUAUAUAUAUAUAUAAAAAAAUAUAUAUGUUAAUAAAUAAUAUACGGAUCUAAAAUAUUAAACUGAAUAUCUAAAUAUUAUAUAAAAUAAUAUAAUAUGGUAAUAGAACAUUUAAUGAAGAGAUAUAUUAAUUAAUAAUUAAUAUAUAAUAAUAAUUAAAUAGAGAAUGCUGACAUGAGUAACGAUAAAAAAGUAUAAACUUUUUCACCUAAAGCAUAAGGUUUUACUAUAAAAGUACGGCCCCUAAUAUAGAAAUAUCUAAAGAUAUAAAUAGAUGGGAUAAUCUAAAUUAACAAUAACCCUGACCCUCACCAGGAUAUCCAGAUAUCCGGAGGGUCUGGGGAGAAAUAUAAUGAAAUAUAUAUUAUAAAAAAUAUAUAUAAAUAAUAUCAGGAAAAAAGUUAAAGAAUACCGUAAUGAAGACCGACUCAGGUAUGCAAGUAGAGAAUAUGAAGGUGUAUUGGAUAAUUAAGGAUAAGGAACUCGGCAAAAAUAGAUCAAAAAUUAGAUAUGAUAAUUAAGAACAAAGUUGUACAACUGUUUAAUAAAAACACAGCACUUUGCAGAAAUGAUAAAUUAAAGUAUAAGGUGUGAACUCUGCUCCAUGUUCAUUAUCUAAAUAAUAUGAUUGAAAGAUUAUAUUACUAAAUAAGAAUAAAUAGCAGCCUUAUUAUGAGGGUUAUAAUGUAGCGAAAUACCUUGGCCACUAAAUAUGGUCCCGCAUGAAUGACGUAAUGAUACAACAACUGUCUCGUCCUUAAGCCAAGUGAAAUUGAACUGGUAGUGAAGAUGCUAUCUAGGUAUAGUUAGACAAAAAGACCCUAUGCAGCUUUACUAUAAUUAGACAACUUGAUUAAUUAUUGAUUAUAUUUAGAAUAUUAAGUAAUUGAUUAAAUAUAAUAUGAAAUACUUAUUGUAAUUAUAUAAUUAUUCUUAUCCCAUAUAAUUAAAUAUUAAUAUAUAUUAUGUAUAUUAAUAAGGGAGACAGGUUCUAAUUGGUAGUUUGAAUGGGAUGUUCUUUUCAGCAAAUUUAUCUGAUAAAGUCCAUAUAUAAUAAAUUAAAUUAACAAAUAAAAUAUAUUAAUAAAUAUAUUAAUUAUAAAAAUAUUAAUUAAAAAUUAAUAAAUAAUAGAAAAGAUAAUGUAUAGUUAAAUUAUCAAGAAAAUAAUAAUAUUAACCAAUAUAAAGGGUUAAAGUAAAUAAAUAUAAUAGUAUAACUAUGCUAUAAUUGUAAUACAAACAAGUAGAACAAGUACGUAAGUAUGGUAUAAUGAACAAAUAAUACUAAUUGUAAGGAUUAUUGAUAACGAAUAAAAGUUACGCUAGGGAUAACAGGGUAAUAUAACGAAAGAGUAGAAAUUGUAAGUUAUGUUUGCCACCUCGAUGUCGACUCAACCUAUCCUCUUGGUUGUAACAGCUAAGAAGGGUUUGACUGUUCGUCAAUUAAAAGGUUACGUGAGUUGGGUUAAAUACGAUGUGAAUCAGUAUGGUUUUUAUCUACUAUAUCUAAUAUUAUCAAAUUAAAUCUCAUUAUUAGUACGCAAGGAUCAUAAUGAAUUAACCUAUGGUGUAUUUAUUAAUAAUUAAUUAAAAUAUUAAUUGUUACUGUAAAGAAGCUAAGUUAAUAAAUAAUAAAUAUUGAAAACAUAUUAAAUAUGAAGUAGUUUUAAUUAGAUAAAUAUAUUGAUCAUUUUAGACUAAAAUGAAAUUUUAUAUCAUAUAUUAUGAUAUUAAAUAAUAGUAUUUAGUUAUAUUUCUAACUAUAUGUAUACUAAUUAAUCAAUUGUCUAUUUUAUAUC
rnacentral:rRNA from 1 species